rnacentral:rRNA from 1 species
CCUACGGGGGGCAGCAGUGCGGAAUCUUGGUCAAUGGACGAGAGUCUGAACCAGCCAAGUAGCGUGAAGGAUGACUGCCCUAUGGGUUGUAAACUUCUUUUAUAUGGGAAUAAAAUGAGCCACGUGUGGCUUUUUGUAUGUACCAUAUGAAUAAGGAUCGGCUAACUCCGUGCCAGCAGCAGCGGUAAUACGGAGGAUCCGAGCGUUAUCCGGAUUUAUUGGGUUUAACGGGAGCGUAGGUGGAUUGUUAAGUCAGUUGUGAAAGUUUGCGGCUCAACCGGAAAAUUGCAGUUGAGACUGGCAGUCUUGAGUACAGUAGAGGUAGGCGGAAUUCGUGGUGUAGCGGGGAAAUGCUUAGAUAUCACGAAGAACUCCGAUUGCGAAGGCAGCUCACUGAACUGCAACUGACACUGAGGCUCGAAAGUGUGGGUAUCAAACAGGAUUAGAUACCCGAGUAGUC